UACGUAGGUGGCAAGCGUUGUCCGGAAUUAUUGGGCGUAAAGCGCGCGCAGGCGGUCCUUUAAGUCUGAUGUGAAAGCCCACGGCUCAACCGUGGAGGGUCAUUGGAAACUGGGGGACUUGAGUGCAGAAGAGGAGAGUGGAAUUCCACAUGUAGCGGUGAAAUGCGUAGAGAUGUGGAGGAACACCAGUGGCGAAGGCGACUCUCUGGUCUGUAACUGACGCUGAGGCGCGAAAGCGUGGGGAGCAAACAGG
rnacentral:rRNA from 1 species